rnacentral:tRNA from 2 species
GCGGGGAUAGCUCAGUUGGGAGAGCGUCAGACUGAAGAAAUUAACUUCAUUCGAUUCUAUUCAUUAAUCUGAAGGUCGUGCGUUCGAUCCGCACUCACCGCA